rnacentral:rRNA from 1 species
GAUGAACGCUGGCGGCGUGCUUAACACAUGCAAGUCGAACGGAGAAAGGGUAGCUUGCUAUCUUUUCUUAGUGGCGGACGGGUGAGUAACGCGUGGGUAACCUGCCCUUUGCAGGGGGAUAACAGUGAGAAAUCACUGCUAAUACCGCAUACCAACUUCUUUCGCAUGAAGGAAGUUUGAAAGAUUUAUCGGCAAAGGAUGGACCCGCGUUGGAUUAGCUAGUUGGUGAGAUAACAGCCCACCAAGGCAACGAUCCAUAGCCGGCCUGAGAGGGUGAACGGCCACACUGGGACUGAGACACGGCCCAGACUCCUACGGGAGGCAGCAGUGGGGAAUAUUGCACAAUGGGCGAAAGCCUGAUGCAGCGACGCCGCGUGAAGGAUGAAGGUCUUCGGAUUGUAAACUUCUAUCAGCAGGGAAGAAAGGGCCUAUGGCCUAUGACGGUACCUGACUAAGAAGCCCGGCUAACUACGUGCCAGCAGCCGCGGUAAAAGUGU